rnacentral:rRNA from 1 species
GAUGAACGCUAGCGGCAGGCUUAACACAUGCAAGUCGAGGGGCAGCGCGGGAUAGCAAUAUCCUGGCGGCGACCGGCGGAAGGGUGCGUAACGCGUGAGCGACAUGCCCGUUGCCCGGGGACAACCGGUGGAAACGCCGACUAAUCCCCGAUGGGAUACGAUGCUUCAUGGCAUUGUAUUGAAAGUUACGGCGGCGACGGAUUGGCUCGCGUCCGAUUAGCUGGUUGGCGGGGUAACGGCCCACCAAGGCUGCGAUCGGUAGGGGUUCUGAGAGGAAGGCCCCCCACAAUGGGACUGAGACACGGCCCAUACUCCUACGGGAGGCAGCAGUGAGGAAUAGUGGUCAAUGGGCGGAAGCCUGAACCAGCCAUGCCGCGUGCGGGAAGGAGGCCCUAUGGGCUGUGAACCGCUUUUGCCUGGGGGCAAUAAGGGCGUCGCGCACGUCCGAUGAGAGUACCAGGCGAAUAAGCAUCGGCUAACUCCGUG